rnacentral:rRNA from 1 species
CAACAGGGAUUGCCCUAGUAACGGCGAGUGAAGCGGCAACAGCUCAAAUUUGAAAUCUGGCGUCUUUGGCGUCCGAGUUGUAAUUUGCAGAGGGCGCUUUGGCGUUGGCAGCGGUCCAAGUUCCUUGGAACAGGACGUCACAGAGGGUGAGAAUCCCGUACGUGGUCGCUGGCCUUCGCCGUGUAAAGCCCCUUCGACGAGUCGAGUUGUUUGGGAAUGCAGCUCUAAAUGGGAGGUAAAUUUCUUCUAAAGCUAAAUACUGGCCAGAGACCGAUAGCGCACAAGUAGAGUGAUCGAAAGAUGAAAAGCACUUUGGAAAGAGAGUCAAACAGCACGUGAAAUUGUUAAAAGGGAAGCGCUUGCAGCCAGACUUGCCUGUAGUUGCUCAUCCGGACUUUUGUCCGGUGCACUCUUCUAUAGGCAGGCCAGCAUCAGUUUGGGCGGUUGGAUAAAGGUCUCUGUCAUGUACCUCUCUUCGGGGAGAACUUAUAGGGGAGACGACAUGCAACCAGCCUGGACUGAGGUCCGCGCAUUUGCUAGGAUGCUGGCGUAAUGGCUGUAAGCGGCCCGUCUUGAAACACGGACCAAGGAGUCUAACAUCUAUGCGAGUGUUUGGGUGUCAAGCCCGAACGCGUAAUGAAAGUGAACGGAGGUGGGAACCUUUCGGGGUGCACCAUCGACCGAUCCUGAUGUCUUCGGAUGGAUUUGAGUAAGAGCAUAGCUGUUGGGACCCGAAAGAUGGUGAACUAUGCUUGAAUAGGGUGAAGCCAGAGGAAACUCUGGUGGAGGCUCGCAGCGGUUCUGACGUGCAAAUCGAUCGUCAAAUUUGGGCAUAGGGGCGAAAGACUAAUCGAACUAUCUAGUAGCUGGUUCCUGCCG